UCGGAAGGUCAGGGGUUAGUGGGUGGUGACAAGCCGCUGCUGGUGGCGGUGUUCGCCGGUCCUGGGUCUAUGGCGCCACCCCAGAGAUGUCCUCUGUGUCGGCAGACUUUCUUCUGUGGUCGCGGGCACGUUUACAGCCACAAGCACCAGCGGCAGUUGAAGGGGGCUCUGGAGCGGUUUCUACCGCAGGUGGAGGCCGCCCGCAGGGCCGUCCGCGCCGCCCAGGUGGAGUGCUAUGUCCCGGAGCACGACCGGUGCUGUUGGUGCCCGUGUUGUGGCUGCGAAGUGCGAAAACACCUGAGCCAUGGAAACCUGACAGUGCUACACGGGGGUCUGCUGGAACAUCUGGCCAGCCCAGAACAUAAGAAAGCCACCAACAAAUUCUGGUGGGAGAACAAGGCCCAUGCCCAGGUGAAAGAGAAGUUUCUGAUCUCCCCCCCGGAUUAUGCACGGUUUAAGAAAUCGAUGGUGAAGGGCUUGGACUCCUAUGAGGAAAGGGAGGAUGAGGUGAUUAAAGAGAUGGCAGCUCAGAUCCGUGAGGUAGAACAGAGUCGGCAGGAAGUGGUCCGAUCUGUCUUAGAGCCUCAGGCAGAGUCAGAUCCAGAAGAGGGUUCUUCGGCACCUGAAAGUUGGAAAGCUGCCAAUGGCCUGGCUCCCCUGUCUUUCAGCCAUGGAGCCUCCAGCUCACAGCAGGUAUCACACUUGGACUUGCAACCUGUUGCAGAGCUUGAUUGGAUGGAGACAGGACCGCACCUAACAUUCAUUGGGCAUCAGGAUACACCCGGAGUUGGUAACAUUCACUCAGGUAAGUUUCUGAGCAGUGUUUGUGGGUCUACAAAAUGGUCUUUUGGUUUCUGCUGAGACAGUUUAUGUAGCAAUGGCUAUCUCUGCCUGAGAGCUGGGAUUGAAGUAGGCAUUACCAUGCCCAGCUAUUUUGAACACGGUCCUUAUUAUUCACACUGACCUUGAGUUCUUGAAACAACUUUUUAAAGACAUGGAUAUCUAACCAAUUUGCUGGAUUUUUUCCCCCUUUUGGUUUUCUGAGGGGUUUAUUCCUGUGUAGCCCUGGCCAUCCUGAGAGUCAAUCUGUAGACCAUGCUGGCCUAUUUCUCAGAGAUCCACCCACCUCUGCCUCGGAUUAAAGGUGCCACACCUCCAUGGAUGAUCCAAGAGGAGGAGCACAGCUCUGGAAGCCUCCCAAUAGGACCCUCCUAUGAAGAAUUUCUUAAAGAAA